CAGUCGCCGCGGUAACACGUAGGGUGCGAGCGUUAAUCGGAAUUACUGGGCGUAAAGCGUGCGCAGGCGGUUGUGUAAGACAGGUGUGAAAUCCCCGGGCUUAACCUGGGAACUGCGCUUGUGACUGCACAGCUAGAGUAUGGCAGAGGGGGGUGGAAUUCCACGUGUAGCAGUGAAAUGCGUAGAGAUGUGGAGGAACACCGAUGGCGAAGGCAGCCCCCUGGGCCAAUACUGACGCUCAUGCACGAAAGCGUGGGGAGCAAACAGGAUUAGAUACCCGCGUAGUCCCUGUCUCUUAUAC
rnacentral:rRNA from 1 species